AAUCUUGGACAAUGGGGGCAACCCUGAUCCAGCCAUGCCGCGUGAGCGAUGAAGGCCUUAGGGUUGUAAAGCUCUUUCAGCGGGGAAGAUAAUGACUGUACCCGCAGAAGAAGCCCCGGCUAACUCCGUGCCAGCAGCCGCGGUAAUACGGAGGGGGCUAGCGUUGUUCGGAAUUACUGGGCGUAAAGCGCACGUAGGCGGACCUGCAAGUUGGGGGUGAAAUCCCGGGGCUCAACCCCGGAACUGCCCUCAAAACUGCUGGUCUGGAGGUCGAGAGAGGUGAGUGGAAUUCCGAGUGUAGAGGUGAAAUUCGUAGAUAUUCGGAGGAACACCAGUGGCGAAGGCGGCUCACUGGCUCGAUACUGACGCUGAGGUGCGAAAGCGUGGGGAGCAAACAG
rnacentral:rRNA from 1 species